rnacentral:rRNA from 1 species
GCCGCGGUAAUACCAGCUCUCCGAGUGGUGAGGACGAUUAUUGGGCUUAAAGCGUUCGUAGCCGGCUCAACAAGUCUUCCGUUAAAUCCAACGAUCUAAUCGUUGGGCCGCGGGAGAUACUGCUGGGCUAGGAGGCGGGAGAAGCCGACGGUAUUCUCGGGGUAGGGGUGAAAUCCUGUAAUCCCGGGAGGACCACCAGUGGCGAAGGCGGUCGGCUAGAACGCGCUCGACGGUGAGGGACGAAAGCUGGGGGAGCGAACCGGAUUAGACACCCGGGUAGUCCCAGCUGUAAACGAUGCGGGCUAGGUGUUGGGGUGGCCACGAGCCACUUCAGUGCCGCAUGGAAGCCAUUAAGCCCGCCGCCUGGGGAGUAC